AUCACUCAUCAGCAAUGGAAUAGGUUCUCCUUGACUUGGUGAACUCACAAAAUGUAUGUGGGUAUUUUUUUUUUUUUUUUAAUUGUUGUGGGCACCACAAGUUCCAACCAAAGCUGACUAGCCAAUCCUUAUGCUUUCAUAUUUCCAAUCCUUGACUUGGUAUGCUCUUCAAAAGCUUUGCAUAUUCGUUAAAUUUCCAUCUCUUUUUUACUUAAUCCGUAUUUCUGAUGCUAGGUCUCAAAUAGACGAAAGGGGAGCAAUGAUAACAGAAGUAAACAGACCAUACUAGACAAACUAGCUGCCGCAACAAAGAUACUUUUAUCAUGUUACUAGAUCCCACUAAGCCAGAGCCAGAAGCAGAGGGGAGCAAUAUAAACAUAAAUAAAGGUCCUUUGAGCAUUCAGAUGGAGACACAUAACUUGAAGGUUUUCACAUUUGAUGAGUUGCGGAAAGCCACCCGGAAUUUCCGGCCAUCAGCCAUGGUUGGAGUUUCAGAUGGUGAGUCAAUCUAUAAAGGGUGGGUGGAUAGGGCAUCAUACAAACCAUCGUAUCUGGAGUAGGGAUAGCUGUCGCAAUCAAGAUUUUAAACACAAAUAAUGUUCAGAGUCUCAAUGAGUGGCAGGCAGAAGUGACUCGGGGAAGGUUUAGUCAUCCCAAUCUUGUUAAACUCUUAGGAUAUUGUUCAGAAGACGGAAAGCUGCUCCUUGUACAUGAAUACAUACCUAAAAGAAAUUUCAUAGACAUUAUUCGACGCCAUCCACUUCCAUGGGAUAUAACAUUGAAAAUUGCUAAUGGAGUAGCCAAAGGCCUUGCUUUCUUGCACACUCAUGAGAGCUCCCCCACAUUUAGGAUUUUCAAUGCUUCAAGUAUUUUAGUGAAUGAGAAUCAUGAAGCGCAACUCUAUUUUGGAUGGGCAUCGUUAGGCCAGAUACAUGGAGCAUUGCCUAUCUUAAUGAGCAAUGCACUCACUAGUCGUUACAACCCUGU